UAACGAUAAGCUCCACCUACAAACCUAUUUAGCCACACCUCCUGAUUACUGUAGAGAUUUGAGGUACUUUAUAGUCUGUGUAUUAGUGUAUCAGUACCGUAUAUACUCGUAUUGAAUCAGUUGGCAUGGUAUUGGAUGAUGUCAGUACAGGGAGGAUCACGUGAUAGGUCACAUGACUUGAUAUCAACUGCCGUUCCUCGUGUGAACGGGUGGGAGUGUCCCUGGCACCCACUUCAACAAGUGAAGUACUGCCAUAUUGAUGACCUUCUUUUUGACAUUUUGGAU